ACAUUAAUAUGCUAGCCAUACACAUGAUUUACACUGGAGGUGAGUACGGUGACAGUUGUUAGGCCAAACACAGGCUCUCUAACCAGGUCAUUUAUGUUUCCAAACACCAAUUGGAUAAGCCUCGGCAUACUGUCAAACAUGUCCCAUCAACAAAUCCUCAAUUAACACAGCUUGUAAUCAGUCUAUGCAACACAACUUGUAAUGGGUCUAUGCAACACUACUUGUAAUACUGUACUGAACUGAGAAUAUGUAACUUUGCAUUGUGACAGUAGGCACAAUUGUUAACAAUUUUGUGUGUGGUAUACUCCUCACACCAGCUCAUAUGCAAUUAAUGUUUAGUGUUUUGCAAAACAUUUUGCACUCCACACGAUAAUCUGAAGGUUAAAGACUUCCCUCAGACACGAACAUGUUUAAUUGUUAGCUAUGUGACAGGUGAUAGAAGGUCCCUCAACUAGGAAGAACAUGGAGCAGCUGCUUGAAAGAAUAAAUACACCAAUAAG
rnacentral:lncRNA from 1 species